AUGGACGCCAGCGUCGAUGGACGAGGCCGAGGUCGUGUAAGAUUGGGCCUCGCCGGCCGCGGGAGAGCUCGUCCUGGGACGAUCCAAUGGAACCCGGAGCAUCCUGUCGGUGUAGGACGAGGCCAUGGAAGAGGUGCACCACACCCACUGGGCCGUGGACGAGGACGACUUGGCCUUGCUGGGCGAGGACGCGGUGGCAUCGACUUGAACGUGGCUGCAUCCAUGGGCAGCGACCUCGACGGUGCAGGUGAUUCGGCAAACCAUGUAGUGUACGGUCGAGGGCGCGGUGUCAUCGACUUGAACAUGGCAGCGUCCACGUACAUCGACGACGACGGUGCUGGGGGUGAUGGCCAUGGCGGCGGCGAUGAUCAGCAUGGUGCCACUGGCGAUGAUGGCCAUGGCGACGGGGAUGAUCAGGGACAUGACGGCGCCGACAAUGAUGCACAUGGCACCGGUGAUGAGGGCAACGAAGGUGGUGCAGAUGGCGAAGAUGGCGAAGAUGGUGCCGCCGACGAUGAUGUUCAUGAUGAAGAUGGGAAUAACCAGCAGCCGCGGGAGUGGAGUGACAAAGCCAAGCUCACAGUUUAUGGCAUGUUAUUGGAGAGGACGACUCUAGGACUCUUGAAACGUGGAGUGACCAAGGAAGUGGCUCGUUUGACUGGUAUGCCGCAGAGAAGCGUCCAGGACGUAUGGAGGAAGGGAAAGAUAUAUGGAGGGAUGCUUGGAGUGUUGAACAGGAAGCCCAAAAACUGUGGUCGUAAAAGGAUCGCCAUCGACUCGGAGAGUAUAAAGGCGAUCGACAAGAGGAAGAGAACAACCAUCAAAGACUUGGCAAACGAGCUGAAUGUGUCAGCUACCACGGUUUGGAGGCGGUUGCAAGAGAAGCAGAUUAGACGUCACAGCAAUGCCAUCAAGGGAACUCUCACCGAUCUAAACAAGAGACGUAGGGUUGAGUGGUGCCUCUCACAGUUUGAGGAAGCGAGCUUGCCGGAACAGCCGUCUUUUAAGGGAAUGUACAAUGUUGUUCACAUUGAUGAGAAGUGGUUCUAUCGCACGAAGAAGUCUCUCAAGCUAUACCUGGCAGAGGACGAAGAGGAGCCGGAACGAUUCACACAGAACAAGAAUUACAUAGAGAGGGUUAUGUUCCUUGCUGCAGUAGCGCGCCCUCGGUUUGAUGUGGGCGGUACCAUGACAUUUGAUGGAAAAAUUGGAAUAUGGCCGUUCACUUUUGAGGAGGGGGCUAAAAGGGAUAGUCCUAAUCGUCCAGCUGGGACAAUUGUGACGAAGGUUAUCUCCAGGGUGACAAGGGAUGUUAGUAGAGACUUCUUGGUGAACAAGGUUAUCCCCGCCAUCAAGGCAAAGUGGCCUCCAUCUGAACGUGGUCGUCCUAUAUUCAUCCAGCAGGAUAAUGCCAGGACUCAUGUCAAUGUUGAUGAUCCGGUUUUCCUUGCCGCGGCCCAGGCAGAUGGGUGGGACAUUCGUUUGGUGUGUCAGCCACCGAACUCCCCUGAUCUUAACAUACUUGAUCUAGGAUUUUUUGCUGCCUUACAAUCAUUGUUUCAGAAGUUAUUUCCAGGUUCCAUUGAUGACAUAGUCCGCAAGGUGUGCCAGGCAUUUGAGCAAUACCCAGCUGAGAGGUGCAACAGGAUAUUCCUAACUCUACAAUCUUGCAUGCGUGAGGUUUUGAAGGAUAAGGGAGGCCAACACUACAAGGUGUCGCACAUGAGGAAGCUAGUCCUUGCAAAUGUUGAUGCCCUCCCGGUGAAGUUGCCUUGUGAUCGAUCCAUCGUGGACGAGGCGAGGGCUUUUUUACUUCAGUAG
rnacentral:rRNA from 1 species